rnacentral:lncRNA from 1 species
UUGAAGGCAGAUGACACACACCUCUGCUCUGCCUUACUUUGUUGGUGUUUCUGUUGGAUUUAUAGUGUUUUCUUUUGUGUGUGUGUGAGUGACGCUGAACCAGAGGCCGACAGUGCUUGCAGGAGGUGCUGAAGGUGCUUUGAACGAGCAAGAGAGGUAGAGGGAGCGAUGACCCCCACUACACCAACACCUUGGACAUCGGGUUUCAGUCAUGAAGUUUGUGGUGGAGCAUGUGAGCAAGGAUUGAGGACGGCUAGGCAGACAGAGUGGUUUUCGCAGCCACCCUGAUAGUAUCCACACCACUGCACUCUCCAUUAUUUCCACCAUCGAAAGCAGUGCACCUCAUCUCACGCAGUGACAGCCCCCCAGUGUUUGAAGACUGUGGUCGUUUGUGCCUGGAGAAGAGAGCAAGUCGCUUUCGUCCGUGGGCCGAGGCAGAAUCUUCAUCAUCAUCAUCAGGCAGUCCAGGCAAAUAUGGCCCAUUGACCAACACUUAUCAACACUGGACCCACUAAGCUCCUACUCCUACUCCUGAAUGAAGUCAUCUUGUCUCAGUGAUGCUCAACACCACAUAACAACAACCCUACAAUGUAAUCCUACCUACACAGUACUUAUAUUCUAAGCAAUAAAGUUUUUGCAAGUGAU